rnacentral:rRNA from 1 species
CCUACGGGAGGCAGCAGUGGGGAAUAUUGCGCAAUGGGCGAAAGCCUGACGCAGCGACGCCGCGUGAGGGAUGAUGGUCUUCGGAUCGUAAACCUCUGUUAGCAGGGAAGAACGGUCACUGUGCUAAUCAGCAGUGAAUUGACGGUACCUGCAAAGGAAGCACCGGCGAACUCCGUGCCAGCAGCCGCGGUAAUACGGAGGGUGCGAGCGUUAAUCGGAAUUACUGGGCGUAAAGCGCUCGUAGGCGGUAUGUCAAGUCAAGGGUGAAAUCCCCGCGCUCAACGUGGGAACUGCCUUUGAAACUGGCAGACUGGAGUGUGUGAGAGGAUAGUGGAAUUCCAGGUGUAGGAGUGAAAUCCGUAGAUAUCAGGAGGAACAUCAGUGGCGAAGGCGACUAUCUGGCACAUAACUGACGCUGAGGAGCGAAAGCGUGGGUAGCAAACAGGAUUAGAUACCCUAGUAGUC